CAGUGACUCCAGCAGCUGCAGUCGGAUUCUUAACCACUGAGCCACAGUGGGAACUCCUCAUUAGUUUUUUAUUUAUUGUUCCUGACUCUUUUUGCAAGAAUAAGGAAAUAUACACAUAUAUGUUUUUAUUUCCUCUUCUUUCCUAUGCUAUGAUUAGUCUUUGGCACUUCCUGUUUUAUCUCUUGGCAGCAUAAUUUGCAGAAUACCCCAUAUUAGUUCAUAGAGAUCUUUCUCAUUAUUUUUGAUGGCUGCAUUCUGCUGUGUGGAUACCCUGUAAUUUGCAAAUAAUGUCCUAUGCUUGGACAUAUGGGUUAUUCCUAAUAUUCUGUUAUGACAAAUAAUGUAAUGAAUAACUUGUACUUUUUUUGUAUUUGUGAACGUACUAUUUUCAGGUAAAUUUCUAGCAAUGGGAUUGAUGGGUCAAAGGGUUAAUGCAUAUGCAAUUUCUCUAGAAAAUGCCAAAUUUCCCUCUAUAUGGGCUAUACCAUUUUGCUUCCCCACCAACAAUAUGUGAAAUUUCUUUUUUUCUCCAUAGUCUGGCUAUAAAGUGUAUUGUCAAAGUCUUGACUUUUUUUGGCCAAUCACAGAUGGUUGAGAAAUGGCAUCUCAAAGUAAUUUUAAUUUGCAUUUCUCUUAUUUUGUGUGAAAUUGAACAUUAUUAAUAUAUUUAAAAGGUUGCUUGUGUAUGUUUUUUUUUUUCCAUGAACUGAGCAGGUGCUCAUAUCUUUUACUAUUUAGUAGGUUUUUAAGGCAUAAUCUAAAAAUCAUCCAAUUCUAUUUAUGACUUUGGAGUUUAUAAAAGACUUUCAAAAGUCAUCUUUUUGAUUCUAAAAGAUUUUGAAAACCUCAGAAGGAAUAAGGACAGUACUACUGAACCAGAACAGUUUCAAAGAUUGUCUCAUUAAUCUGGAAAAUAUGGGAGGACCUGCAAUUAUAUGCAUGAACUAUCUUGUCGAUGCUUUUGGAAACCUUGAGCGGAGUAUUUCAUGUAGAAGAUCACCAACACCGGCUGAGGGCAGCUUGUAACGUCUUCAUAAUCAUUUAAUGAAUAUUCUCAGAAGUCCAAAGAUGUCACAUAAAGCCUGACUUGUUCUCUGCUUACAGUUACGCCUGAAAGGAACCCUGAGAUGGAAAUGGGGGUUGGCAGAACAGCAGCUACACCUAUGAAACAUCAUAGUCUGAUGGGCUUGUUCACUUGAUUACUUUUGUGGUUUGUUUUUGAAGUUUUGCUUUCAUUUCUCUUUGAUUCAGAAAAUACCUUGAAGUCUCCCCAGUCUCAGUAAUGGUUGCAAAGGCCAGCCGUUUUCCUUAAGAGGGUCCCUGCCAGGAAUCUUUCAUUUAGCAAAAUCAAACUUCUAAAUGCGGGGGUUGAAUUAUUGGAAUUACCGCUUGGCAAAUGCAGAAGCCUCAACGCUGCCAUGCUGUGACCCAGGGAAAGAUUUUCGGAAAAUAAGGCUCAUUCUCUUCAGUUGGAAUGAAACGGCUCUGCAAGGAGUCAAAUUGGCAUUCUGUCAGCAGGAUCUUCUUAAGUAAAGAGGAAAAUGAAUGUGUUCUGUCCACAAAUGAUGUCGGCCAAGCAAAUUGGGGGAGAAGAGGAGAAUGGAAAGAGCCUCACUGGCUUCCCUAUUGAUCCAAAAGUCACCUUCUGGAAGGGGGUUCUAUUGGUGAACAGAAAAAAAAAAUGAACCCAAACUACAGACAAGAAUAAACAUAUUUUCCAAGAGGAAGUGGCUCUUGAAUUCAGUGUCGAAAGGAGGGUUACUGGGUGGAGUGGUUAUAGGAAUUCCAGUCAUCAUGCUCAUCAUCAAGGCAAGAAGACGGAGGAGGCAGUGGGGAUAAGAAGUUCCAUCAAACCACCAAUGUGAGCAAACUCUGUAUUUAUGCCUUGCUGGCUAGGACUGUGCAUGUGGCCCUCAUCCGGCCGCAAAGGAAGCUGGGAAAUUAGAAUUUAGCUUGGCACCUUGCCAUCCUGGACACAAUCAGGCCUCUACCUGUUGGAGAAACUCAAGAAAGUAUAUUGGUUGUAAAGGCAGCCAACUUUCAGAGGCAAGCUGGGGAAUGUUAUUGAUGUUUAUGUCUUGAUCCACUUACUUUUUCCUUGGUGAGAAGAAUGAGAAGACUAAUAAACGUUGUACUGGAGAUCAAAGUACAUCACAACAAAUUUCAAAGAGGUGUCCACAAUGUUCCCUCUAUGUCAGCUUAUACUAUACUGAGAAAUAUACUUGUGGUAAUAGUUAGAAGUCAUCUUCUUAGUCAUGAGGAAAUGUUUGCCAUAACAAUGUCAUGGUAAUAUGAUCUACUUGCAAUUACAGCAUCUAGCAGCGAUUCUAAUGAAACCACCUUGAUUUCUCUGAAACGACAUGUUAUGUUUAGGGAAAAGUACAUCCUGGAAUCUCUUUGAGAGUUCAGUUGUAAUUUGCUGAAAUUAGUUGUCCCCACAUUCACAAUUUGGGUUUUAGAAAAGAUUCAAGCUACAUCAGGAACUUAAGCAGAACAUAAAUAGAUCUUAAGAGUCAUGAGGUGUGCAAUAUAAAAUAGGCCAUGCCUCAGGAGUUUCUCGUGAAGAUGCCUGCAACGUGAACUUUUGGACCCUGAUUCUGCAAGAAUUGUCUCUCUUGAGAACUAGGUAAAGUUGUGUGAUGAUGGGCAAGUAUCUCUCUGUACUUUUUCUCAUUUGUAAGUCACAUGACUACAUUUGUCAGAAACUACAAUCUAAGUUACGUAGUUUUUAUUUUAUCAUUUUUAUUUUAAAUACUGCUCAAAAUUUAAUCAGUUGUAUGUUUAUCAUGGGUAAAAUAAACAUAGCUAUUUGACUUAUAGAAUAUCUAUAUGACAUAUA